UACGUACGAGGCGAGCGUUAUCCGGAAUUACUGGGCGUAAAGAGCGUGUAGGCGGCCAGGUAGGUCUGCUGUGAAAACUCGAGGCUCAACCUCGAGACGUCGGCGGAAACCAUCUGGCUAGAGUCCGGAAGAGGAGAGUGGAAUUCCUGGUGUAGCGGUGAAAUGCGCAGAUAUCAGGAAGAACACCAGUGGCGAAGGCGGCCCGCUGGGCAGUGGCUGACGCUGAGGCGCGACAGCGUGGGGAGCAAACAGG
rnacentral:rRNA from 1 species